AUCUUUAUGCUCGGGCAUUACGCAUAUCAGUGAGGAUUCGUCCGAGAUUGUGUAUUUGCUGGUUGAAAACUUUAACCUGACCGCUCUUGUUUACUUUUUCGUUAGUCUAUGACUAGCAUUAGUGAAUGAGGAAUUUUUGGAACCUUUAUUUAA
rnacentral:snRNA from 1 species